UGUACACUGACUAGGGAGCUCUGUUUUUACAUAGAAAAUGGGACACUCAAUGCUCAACUAGGAAGCAGUGUUUUAUCAAAUUCAAGCACAGUCAUUGGUGAGAAUCAGUGGACUCAUGUUGCCAUGCGGUAUGAUGCACAAAAUCAUGAAUUAUCACUAUUCAUAAAUGGAACAACAUUACCAACACCUGGACCAGAGGCUACUCUUGAAGACCUUAGUCCUAUCACAUGGGUAAGAUUUAUUCUAAAUUAUUUUAAAAUAUACUAUUAUUAGUAUAGAAUAAUAGAAAGGCUAUGUAUUUAUUUAUUCACAAUCUUUAGCCAGGGUGGCAAAAAAGGUUAGCACCUUUCCAUUUAAAGGAAUGUUUAUAGUAUUCUGCCCAGUGAAAGUGAUUUUCAACUACAGUAUUUCUUGUGAAAUAUUAUGAUUUUCAUCAGCAUUUAAACAACUUAAUUUCGCAAUUCAGUUUCUCAACUGC